ACACUACAAGGCAAAAAUAUGACCUUGACAUAGGCACAGACUUGAAUUGUGCAUAGAGUAAGUUCUUACUGUUUUGGCAUUCUUCUUGU
rnacentral:pre_miRNA from 1 species